rnacentral:pre_miRNA from 1 species
AGCAUUGCCCCCGGUGAGUGAAGAUGAGACCAGGCUCUCACGUCUGGCUGCUGCUCUCUGACAUUCUGCCUUUCCUCAGGAGCU